GGCUCCAUAGCUCAGUGGUUAGAGCGCUGGUCUUGUAAACCAGUAGUCACAAGUUCAGUCCUCGCUGGGGCCU